rnacentral:tRNA from 1 species
ACAUAUAUAGUUUAACCAAAACAGUAAUUUGUGGAAUUAAAAAUAAAAUUAUUUUA